rnacentral:rRNA from 1 species
AAUCAACGCUGGCGGCGUGCCUCAGACAUGCAAGUCGAACGAUUAAAGCUCUCUUCGGAGAGUGUAUAGAGUGGCGCACGGGUGAGUAACACGUAAGUAAUCUACCUUCGAGUGGGGAAUAACGUUCGGAAACGAACGCUAAUACCGCAUAAUGCAGCGGCAUCGCAAGAUGACAGUUGUUAAAGGAAUUUAUUUCGCUUGAAGAGGAGCUUGCGGCAGAUUAGCUAGUUGGUAAGGUAACGGCUUACCAAGGCUACGAUCUGUAUCCGGCCUAAGAGGACGGUCGGACACACUGACACUGAAUAACGGGUCAGACUCCUACGGGAGGCAGCAGUCGGGAAUUUUGGGCAAUGGGCGAAAGCCUGACCCAGCAACGCCGCGUGAAGGAUGAAGUAUUUCGGUAUGUAAACUUCGAAAGAAUGGGAAGAAUAAAUGACGGUACCAUUUAUAAGCUCCGGCUAACUACGUGCCAGCCGCCGCUGUAACAC